rnacentral:lncRNA from 1 species
UGAGGCCUUGGUCUAUGAACGUAGUCCAGCCACAGUUAGCUUGAACCUUAGCCUCUUUCUCUUCACCAUCCCGUCACUCUCAGCCUCUCAUCAUCCAACUCCAGAAGCUCCCAUCUCUCCUGCCUGAAGCAAAGGUUCAUUGCAACCUGAGAACCUGGGUAGAGAACUCACUUUCCAUGCACCCCCUUUUAUCCCGAUUUAAAGUUGAUCCGGGAUAAAAGAUGCUCUAGUCCCGGGUCAAAUAUCA